rnacentral:lncRNA from 1 species
CAGGAGGCAAAGUAGGAGGCAGACCAGUCCAGACAUUUCCACACUUUCAGGUUUUCUGUGUGAGACUCACCGGCUGAAUCAUAUCAGAGCCUGUGUGACCGCAGCGCGAGAGCUCGCGGGAUUUCACCACGCGCUUCUAACGUCGGAGCACAGGGCCUUCACUGCAUGUUUCCAUCGGGCUCUGUCCUGGGCUGCCAGCUUUGCCACUCCCUAGGACAUCUUGAUCUUCUUUAGCUCUGGCUGUAGGGUUCAUCUCCACCUUGGAGUGCAGACUGAGGCUCCUGUUCCUCAACACUGGUCUGAGGGAAACAAAGGCUUUGUUGAUCCUGGCUUGGACAUCUUCGUCCAUCCCUCCUGUCUUACUGAUAACACUGCCAAGGACGGUCCCAAGCCCAGCUGCAAAAGGAGGAGGGUUGGGUGUGGGGCUAUUAACCCCACACACACACACACACACACACACACACACACACACACACACACACACACUGGCAGAAGCCGCUCGUCCCGAGCAGGGUCACGGCGAGCCGAAGCCCGACCUGGCAACACAGGGCGCAAGGCUGGAGGGGGAGGGGACACACCCAGGAUGGGACGCCAGCCCGCCACAAGGCACCCCAAGCGGGACUCGAGCCCUAGACCCACCAGAGAGCAGGAUCUGGCCAAGGCUGCUGCGCCGCUGUGCCACCGCGCCCUGUGCUAGUAACCCCACCC